CUGCAGUGGCACAAUCAUAGCUCAAUGCAACCUCAACCUUCCACAUAUGUAUCAAAGAGCUUGUGUGGAUUAGUUGCUAAGUACAUACAAGAUUUGAAGACCUGAAAAUAAAUAAAUCAGCUUUUAAAAAUAUUGAAACUCAGAGGAAGGAUGAAAGGAAACAUUUGUCCAUGUGUCCUUCGCAUGUCCCUCUCCAAGAGAAAUGGACACCUACCUGGGAAUGGAGAUGUGUAUCAACAAAGGCUGCCAUGUUUAGAAAAUGAUAAAGAAUCCCUCAUUCUUAAGGCAAGUGAUUUAAAAAUAUUGUUCUUUCCUUGUAGCAUACUUACAAAGACUGUUUUAAAUUGGAGUGGCAAAUUCAGAUUGCUUGCAGCCUGACUGCUUAUAGAAACCAGUUAUAAUAGCAACCAGACUGCUAAUAGAAAUAAGCAUGGUAAGCCAUGUGUACAUAAUAGAGAGUGGUGAGAACUGGGACAAAAUGAUGAUAUGUACACCCAGUUUAGAGGGUGCUGCCAUUAAUCAAUCUCAGUUCUUCCAGGGCCAAUCUGAAUACAGGCACAGUAUCAUCUGAUCUGACUGUCUAUAUAUAUUUUUUGGAGGCAGGGUCUUGUUAUAUUGCCCAGGUUGGUCUUGAAUUCCUAGGCUCCAGCAAUCUUUCUACCUCAGUCUCCUAAGUAGCUGGGAUUACAGGUGUCCAGCACCACGCUUGACUGGAUCUGAUUUUUAAGUAUAUUUUUAUAUAUAUCAGAAAUUUAGAUAUAUAAAUAUAACAUAAAAUCUGCGUAUAUGUAAGUUUAUAUUUCUGAAUCUGAAAUCUGGAUAUAUGUAAUUUUUCUAUUUUAAAAAUGAUACCAUGGCUGAGACAAAACACAACAGUGCAUAGAAUCCUCCUUGUGGGCUAAAUUUGAGUUUGCUUCUUCAUAAUGUUUUAAAUGUCUGACAAAUAUUUUUUUUGGUAUACUCAGCAAAAUGAAUUCAAUUAUAUUUAUGGGGUGAUGAUUAUUGAGGAAAAACUCAAAGAUCUGCUAUAAGCACUAGAGUUGAAGGACUAACCCAACAGCUCCUCAUGGACCUUUGAGUCUAUUGAGUUGCCCCGGCUUUGAACACAUCAGUGUCACCUUGAAAGAGCUCAUGGAACUUGAAUUCCCUGGGUUCUUUUCCUUCUUCUUCUUGAAGUAUCAAAUUUGAAUAGUUCUUGAUAAUUUCUAUUUCAAACAUUAACUUCAGUUCCUCUCUUCAAAUACUAUCUCCACCCUGCCCACGAAAAUGAUCAUUUGUGCGCACACUCUCAUAAAUGUUGAACUGGCUUUAACCAAAAAGUACUGUACAUUCCUAAUCUACACAAAUUUUCUCCAAAAUUGUGUAAGACUCCUUAAAUCAAAAAGCAACAUAUAAAUAGGCAUGCAAAGGACCACUGUCUUCUUGGUAUUUCUCAGAUUUUUUUUCUUUACAAUUGUAUGAGUGGUAGGAUCAUUCUUUUUUUUUGUUCCAUUUAGAGAAAUAACAUAUACAGUGGGACCCAAAUUCUUUUUCACUUAUUGCAGUAUUUUACU